GCCAGUAUGGUGUAGUGGUUUGAGUGUUGGACUGUGACUCAGAAGACCAGGGUUCGAUUCCUUGUGUACCCA
rnacentral:tRNA from 1 species